CUGUGGAGGACAGCUUGUCCUAUCACACCCUGGUGUGCCCAGCGUGCCAACAUGCCUGGUUCCACCGGGGCUGCAUCCAGCAACAGGCCGUGAGUGCUGGCGCUUUGUGGUUCCACUGUGCCGCUUGUCGAGACAACAUCCUGUUCUUUGCAGAAAUGGCCAUUCUGGGGAUCCAAAUCCCAUACAGAAGACCAGGAUGGGUAGACGACGACACGUACGAAGCACUUCUCCACAGGCACAGCCGCUGCGAUGCCAGCGAAUGCCUUUACCAUGGAGGCAGAGAGCAGGCAGAGAGGCGUGGGGGA